GGGAAUGUGACUCAGUGGUAGAGUGCUUGCCUAACAUGCAUGAAGCCCUGGGUUCAAUUCCUCAGUACCA
rnacentral:tRNA from 1 species